UACGGAGGGUGCAAGCGUUAAUCGGAAUUACUGGGCGUAAAGCGUGCGCAGGCGGUUUGUUAAGUCCGUUGUGAAAGCCCCGAGCUCAACUUGGGAAUUGCAGUGGAUACUGGCAGGCUGGAGUACGGUAGAGGAAGGUGGAAUUCCCGGUGUAGCAGUGAAAUGCGUAGAUAUCGGAAGGAACACCAGUGGCGAAAGCGGCUUCCUGGUCCGACACCGACGUCAGGCACGAAAGCGUGGGGAGCAAACAGG
rnacentral:rRNA from 1 species